AUUUCUCUCACUAGAGAUAUAAUUAUUUUUUUAUUUUUUUGUUGUCAGGUACUACCAUCUUUAAGGGAAAAGAAAGAUGAGAAUUUGUUACAAGAACUAGCAAAAAGAUGGAAUAACACAAGGUUUACGGGGAAAUGAAUGAUCAAGUGAGGGAUGUUGUAAUAUCUAUGGUUGUAGAACAUGAAUUGCUCUUUGUAUUUGCAAAGAAAAAACAACUUGAUAGUGAGGCUGCAUAAAUUGAUGAGUGGGCCAUCUAUUUCUUUCCUUUUAUUAUUUAUUUAUUUAUUUCUUAUUCCCUUUUUACUUUGAUGGGUGAUAUUGAGAAUUGUUUAUGGCAUUGAAGGACUAAAGUACAAUAAAACCAAAAUUUCUUGAAGCUUUAAAGCACAAAGUGCAAACAACAAUGUAAUAAAUAAUUACACAAUUGUGCAAUUUUAUAUGUAAUUUAUGUCAUUUUAGUUGCGUC